ACGCAGCGCGCACUUGUGGGCCGACGCGCACUGAUUUUCUACCCUUUUCAAAGAACGCACGUAAUCUGACACGUAAAAUAAAAUAGUGUUAGUAACUUGGUUAUGUUAUAUAUUUAGUUCACGAAGAUUUGUUAAGAAACUUGGAUUUUUUCUCCGUGGGAGAAUACCUGAUUACGAAUAUACCGAUUACCUCAUAACACCAAAAAAUGCAAGGACACGCUGUGAUGCAUGAUGCGCGCAGGUUUAAGAAUAAAAUGCAGCAGAUCUUGGCUGACAGGGAAAGAAGAAUACGAGGGAAACAGGAAUCUGUCAUGGACACUCCACCCUCUACACCACCCAGUUCACCGCCAAGGAUACCAACAAGGAAUGUCCGUAGAUGCCUCUUCCCCGAGUCUCUGAACGAAAAAGCAAGGCAAGAAUACCGUCAAAAAGUUUUUGAAGAAAUUAAAAAACUAACAGAAAAAGAUAAGCAAAAAUAUAAUUUCGACGAUUAUGAUAUAUUUCGAAACGUAAAUGGUCAAUGGGUAUACAUGGAACCGAAGCCAGUUAUAGACAUUGACUCAACCAAGACUCCUCGUCGUGAAACUGACAAUAAGUCGUUGCCGGAGAUCGGGAAAAGGAAGCGGGAUGAUGGAGAGGUCGAUCACCAAGCUGCUAAGAGACGGUUGAGCUACGAUUGAUUGCGUUUAGCUUUUGAAAUUGUAGAGUAACGUUGAGAUGAAUAGUUUAUAUAAAUUUAGGCGACUGAAAUAACAGAGUUGUCAUUUUUGCAUUAUUUGUAUGAUUAAAGUAAAUAAGAUAGAAACAAAACAGCAUCCGCAAAACUAUUGUCUAAAGCAAACAUGACCAAUUCAGGAAAAAAUGUCAAAUUACAGGGUGUAAUUGUCCAACUAAAUUCAUCUCAACAUUAAAUCUUGUUACCUUAAAACUAUAGAAUUUUAGGUCACAAAAACAUUUACCUAGGUAUUGAAAUGUCUUAUAAUUAUGUAUUUGGUGAAGUUUUAAGUAUGUAUUGCAAACACUACAAAACGCUUAGUAAAAUGGGCAAAAAAAUUUACUUUAAUGCGAAUGGUUGGUUCAUUACGAUCAUUUUGGUUUGGUAGUAGCAAUUCAUGUUCUGUGAUGUGGUUCGAUGCGAGGAGCUGCAGACCAAGCACAAUGGUGCACUAUAAGAGACGCCUAUGUCCAGCAGUGCACAGAAACGUGCUGAUGAUGAUGAUGAUGAUAAUAGUGAUUCUUCCCUGAGUGCACAGUGUAACAAUUUUGGACAAAUCUGACCCAGAAUUUAGCUUUUUGUACCCAUAAUACGCUUAAAUCGUGCCACAAUUAGGCUACAUGUUUAUUAAGUUAUUUUAGACACAUAGGUUAGUAUUGAGUAUUUUAAAUACUGUUCAUGUAAAUUAACUAGUUUUUUUUAUAUUAUUAUUUCGGCUCACCCUAUCUAUGAAAGACUGCACUGAGAGUUCUUUUAACAAUGUUUUGUUUUUAGUUUAAUUUUAUUUGUAAAUGUAUGCAAUUUACUUUUUUUUCUUACUAUCCACUACACGACAUCACACUAUGUUAUGAUCAUGUCCAAUUUCAAGUAUUUUUGGUGAUAAAAUUUCAUUACACAUUAUUUUUUAUUUAUAAGAUUAUCUACACAAUGUCUACCAGACCUGCUACGUAAUAUCUAAUAGACGUGCUACGCUACGUCUAGUAGACAUGCUACGUAAUGUCUACUAGACAUGCUACGCUACGUCUACUGGACUUGCUACGCAAUGUCUACGAGAUGUCUAUGACAAUAAAUAGGUACAUGCACAUUGCAAAUUAAACUCUAUAUCUUGUCACUUAGAUUGCUUUUAUCUUCAAAGGAACUUUUGUUUUAGUAUUUAAAAAGAUUUUUUUGUAAUGGACGAAUGUGAUCACCGAUAAUGUUUAAUUAUGUAAAAGUACUUUUAUCCUAAAAGUGAUACUUGUAUAGUUGUUGCUCGAAUGUAUUUCAUGAACGCUUCUGAUUGGCUGAAAACCUGCCCAAAUGAAAUUAAAGGUCGAUUUCACUAUGCCUGUAUGUCCGCUAUGUACCGGAUAGAUUUGAAAUACGAAUGUAAUUUGUAUGAAAUUUCUGUUAUAUAAGUUUAUCGAAGUGAUAGAGAGAGCUAUGCUCGGGGUUUCUUUGCACGAAAAUUGGAAAUUCGCCAAAGAAGAACUAGUUACCGACAUAGCU